UACGUAGGGUGCAAGCGUUGUCCGGAAUUAUUGGGCGUAAAGAGCUCGUAGGCGGUUUGUUGCGUCGGCUGUGAAAUCCCGAGGCUCAACCUCGGGUCUGCAGUCGAUACGAGCAAACUAGAGUGUUGCAGGGGAGACUGGAAUUCCUGGUGUAGCGGUGAAAUGCGCAGAUAUCGGGAGGAACACCAGUAGCGAAGGCGGUUCUCUGGGCCGGUACUGACGCUGAGGAGCGAAAGCGUGGGGAGCAAACAGG
rnacentral:rRNA from 1 species